rnacentral:rRNA from 1 species
CCUACGGGUGGCAGCAGUGAGGAAUAUUGGUCAAUGGGCGCGAGCCUGAACCAGCCAAGUAGCGUGAAGGAUGACUGCCCUACGGGUUGUAAACUUCUUUUAUAAAGGAAUAAAGUGUGGCACGUGUGCCUUUUUGUAUGUACUUUAUGAACAAGGAUCGGCUAACUCCGUGCCAGCAGCCGCGGUAAUACGGAGGAUCCGAGCGUUAUCCGGAUUUAUUGGGUUUAAAGGGAGCGUAGAUGGGCUGUUAAGUCAGUUGUGAAAGUUUGCGGCUCAACCGUAAAAUUGCAAUUGAUACUGGCAGCCUUGAGUACAGUAGAGGUAGGCGGAAUUCGUGGUGUAGCGGUGAAAUGCUUAGAUAUCACGAAGAACUCCGAUUGCGAAGGCAGCUUACUAGACUGCCACUGACGUUGAUGCUCGAAAGUGUGGGUAUCAAACAGGAUUAGAUACCCCAGUAGUC